rnacentral:rRNA from 1 species
AUUGAACGCUGGCGGCAUGCUUUACACAUGCAAGUCGAACGGUAACAGGCCGCAAGGUGCUGACGAGUGGCGAACGGGUGAGUAAUGCAUCGGAACGUGCCCAGUCGUGGGGGAUAACGCAGCGAAAGCUGUGCUAAUACCGCAUACGAUCUGUGGAUGAAAGCGGGGGACCGUAAGGCCUCGCGCGAUUGGAGCGGCCGAUGUCAGAUUAGCUAGUUGGUGGGGUAAAGGCCUACCAAGGCAACGAUCUGUAGUUGGUCUGAGAGGACGACCAGCCACACUGGGACUGAGACACGGCCCAGACUCCUACGGGAGGCAGCAGUGGGGAAUUUUGGACAAUGGGCGCAAGCCUGAUCCAGCAAUGCCGCGUGCAGGAAGAAGGCCUUCGGGUUGUAAACCGCUUUUGUCAGGGAAGAAACGGCUUUCUCUAAUACAGAGGGCUAAUGACGGUACCUGAAGAAUAAGCACCGGCUAACUACGUGCCAGCCGCCGCGGUAACAC